CUGGGUUUUCUUUCCAUUUGGCCCCAGAGGAGGAGCCACCCCACAAAGAGUUUAGCAGAGCGAAGUCACUGGCCGCGCACUUGGAGAGAACAGUAUCCACAGAUGCAAAGAAUAACCAGUUUAACAUGAACCCUUGUGAUGACGUUGGGCCCUCCAGGAGAACCUUCCCAUCUGAAGAGCCUUAACUUAAUCAUGUCUGCAAAGUCUCUUUUACCAUGUAAGGUCAUGUUCACAGGUUCUGGGGAUUAGGAGGACGUCCAAAAAUGAGGAGGCACAUGGAGAAGAACCAGAGUGGCCACCUUGCAGCUCUCAAGGAUUACACUUGAACGUGAAGCAAGUAUCCUGAAAGCCCCAGGCAGGUGGUCAACUCGGCUAGUGUGCAGUUCUCAAUCCCUUCUCAACCUUUCCCUUCAUGGAGUCAUAAAGCAAGUUUCAUUUUAUAGGUGAUUAAGAAGCCUACGUGAGAAAUCUGUGAAAGGUGCCUGGCUCACAGAGGGCAGGAAGGUCAACUCUAAUAACACACGAGAUGACACAGGUUUCUGGAACACCUCUCUCUCCAUCGGUCUCCCAAGCCUUUCUCCACACCAGGCCUGCAGUGGGAUGACAGUGACAGGAUUAUCUUGCAUCUUUCCAAGGUGGCGCUAGAUUCAAUUCAGACUGAGAGGAGCAUGGAGAAUUCAGAGCAGAAUGGCUUUCAUCUGUGAAUAAUGGGCCACCCUCAACCUCCCACCUUCCAGCCCCCCACCAACGGUCAACAUGAAAAUACAGGAAGGUAAUGACCAGGAAAUCUCCACAGGAUUCCAUGCAACAGCGCCUCCGAGCAAGGGAUCAUAGGAGGAUUCCAUUUCCAAGUGAUGAGAGGGGCCAUAAACAGUUGAGAUUCCUCCCUGAUAUUGAAUUCCUUGAUGUUUGUAAAGUUUCACCUAUCCUUAAAAAAAGUUAAGAUUUGAAAAAAUAAAUACUCACGAGGUAGACAGAGUAUCCUUUUUCAGCAGCAAUGCAAUGAUCUCCACAAUAUAUUUUAUAAGGAACUGAGGUCAUACAAAGUACUACUUAUUAACAAAAUGCCCUCUACCGUUUUACUAACUGAAUUGUUUUCUUUUUAAUAUCAGAUUACCUUUUAUUCCACUGUGCUUUUAACAGAGAAGUUUACAAUCAGUGCAAUGAAAUAAACCACAUUCAACAAAGGAUAUGUCAAGAGCCCUGGAUUUCGGGUUUGCCUUUGCCACCAACUGGUGUGUGAUCUUGGGCAAGGCUUUUGACAUCACUGAGCUUUUAUUUCUCCAUCUGGAAAUUGAUAAAGAUGGCAAAUGGAGAGGCUGAGCGACUUGCCCAAGGUUCAUGACUUGGAAGGGAAACACUGGGAUGUGGACCCAGGCCUGCCUCAUUCCAAAAGCAUGUGUCUAACCACCACACAACACUGCCUCCCUGGGUACCACCUGCUGCAGCCGCUCCUGGAGGACUUGGCACACGAUUCUCAGCUGUGUUUACUUCACAAAGAUGCUCAGCAGCAAAGUGGGUGGUAGCCAGUAAUUCCCCACAAAGCUGUGUCAGCCAGCAGCAGGGCUGGGCCCAUCCCCUGCCUGGGAGGAAGAGGUCUAGGAGCUGUGCUCAGUACUGGCAGAAAGGGCAGCUGUGAGAAAGAUCACUGUUCUGGGAAUGGGAAAAAUAUGUUGACAGAAGCUCUGAACCUGAGGGUGAAGUUUGUAAACCAUGGGCUUCUUCCAGGGUGAUCAGGUCCUUCUCUCGGGCUGACCACAUUCCCUGGAGAAAGGUCUUCCAUCUCCUACCUGGAGGGUAUAGUCCUGCCUGCCACCAGCCUGGGGACGGAUUACAAUUAGGCAUUCUUAGGUGAAAGUCCACUUACACCCCUGAAGGGAACCCCCAGCCCUCCACUGUCCCUGAUACUUCCCGACUUCCCAUCCCUAUGGCUGGGGCUGUGCACGUCUUCCUGGGUGUUGUGGUGGUGAUGGGCCGAGGGAACCAACUUCUUAAACACUUGUUUGUUUUUUUCCAAUACCUGCUCCAGAGGUACCUGUUGCUGCUGAGAUCCAUGCUUUGGGAGAGUUUUGUCCCAUAAAUCAGGCUGCUUCCUGGCUUCUCCUGUUCCCCGGAGGAAUCAGUCACCACUGGUCCAUCUGCAUUCCAGUAUCUCAAAUUUUUUUAGUUGUUCUUUUUCCCAGUCUGUUUGACCUUGUGGGUUUAUCUGUUAAGAAAAAAAAAAUCUCUUUACGACUCUUUUGGGAGGGAGAAUAAGAAAACACUGGGGUGUGAUCUACCAUCUUUAUUUACUGAGAUGCUGCUCCCUCUGCUCUUUGGGGUCAGUAGCUACGUGGAUGCUACUCUGUUCUCUGGACCCAGUGUCUACUCACUGCUUUUGUCUGGAUGUCAGUACUUGAAAGCAGGUCCUCAAUUAACCACACACAUGCAGUAAGUAGCUCCAGGCUCACCUUUUCACGGCCAUUCCCCCUGGGCUCCCACCAUCCUUCAAUCUCUCCCUCGUCCAAGGAAUUUUUUAUUACAAAUGUCUGAGGUAUGGGUCUCUUGCAGGAUAUUCCCCCCCUUCCUAUGUUGAACUGAUCCAUUGGAUUUUUAAAGGAGUUUUUCAAAAUUUCUUCUAUGUGGACAGCAUUUUUCCUUCUUCAAAUCAGCUGUGAUUUUAUUGUCUAAGUAUACAUUCUUCUACAUUUCAUGAGAUUUGGUAUGGAACUGGGUAUAGUUGCAAGUGCUCAAUUAGACAUCUUAUCUAAUCCGGAAGUAUAAAUAGUUAGGCCAUCCUCUUUUCCCUUUUUUGGUGGUUAGGGAGUGAGUUGGAGGUUUGCCACACCAAGAUUAUUCACCCAUAUUUUCUUCUAUUACUUUUGUGUUAAUUUUCUAUAUUUAAAUCUUUGGUUCACUGGAAAUUUUAUUUGGUGUUGGAUGUAGAGAGGAAUCUAGAGUUCUUAAAAAUGUUUAGCUGUUUGUUCAAAUGUUAGUUAUUGACUAGUUUUCUGACAAAUAUAUACUCAAUUCGUGUCUUCAAAGUAUAUUUUAUUAUCUCAUGAGUCAAGUUUUUCUUGAUAAUGAUUCUUUUUUUAAGAACUUUUAUUGAGAUAUAAUUGAUAAUAAUUCUUUUUUAACUCUUUCUUGGCGAUUUGUAUAAAUUUAUUCCAGUAAAUGCAUUUUGAAUAAUUUGGGCAAGUUAAAAAAAUCCCAUUAGAAUUAGGGAGUGUUCGAAUUUAUUUUAAUAGAUUCAUUCAGGGUGCACUGGCCUUUUAAUAAUUAUAAGCCAUAUUUCAGCCUCUUGCAUGAAUCUAUGUUAUCCAGUCAGCUGAAGUAAUUGUUUACUUUAAGAUGUAAUAAAAUUGUCUCAACACCCCAUCUCACACCUGAUAGAAUCCCAACAGGCUUUUCAGUCUCUUUGGGGUUUCAUGACAGUGGAGGGUUGGUGUUUAUUUUUCCCGGAGCCAGUUCUAUUUUCCUGCUUCCACGGAAUUCUUGGUUUCUGCUCUGGCUCUGACCCUCGCACAUCUGUCCUUUCUCCAGUCCACAGCACCCCACUGGAGACGAUCUGGUCUCUCCGCUGGCAUUAAUUCAAGGCCAUGAGCACUAGAUAGGAGACUUUAGGGUAGAGUUACAGUCUGAGCCCUGGAGUCAGAAUGUCGAGGUCAACCACUAGACUCCACUUCCCAGCUGUGCACUUGGUCAAGUCGCUUAACUUCUCUCUGCCUGAAUCCCUCAUCUGUAAUGGUAAACAAGAUUGUUGUGACAUUUAAAUGAUAUACACAGUUAACAGUGCUUAGUGCGUUGCCCAGAAAGUAGGUGCUCUCAUCAUCACCAUCAGCACCACCACCAUCAUCAUCAUCAAAGGUUUGGCGGCUGUACAAAUGGGCUGCAUAAUAAUGGAUCACAGCAAAUGACUUUAGACACUAUACGCGUUUACUCUUAAACGUUCCUCUACGCGUCCUCUUACUGGAAGAAGGUCCUCUCUCUUUAAGCUCCAGCUGGGCCUCUUACUUUGAUCUCUUCCCUUCUUUCUCCUGGUUUACUCAACUCCUGCCCAGUCUCACUAUCUUAAUUCUAGUCAUGACAUCAAGGAUAAGACCUAUCUUUCCAAAAUAUACCCAUCCCAUCCAGAUGCUUGGCUAAAAAACCAAAACAAACGAAAGCAAACAAAAAAAGCCAGUUUUCUCUCCAAGAGGAAUUGUAUAGUCAUCUUACAGCUCCAAAACUAAUCAUUAUUUUUUCCCUUUUUCGGAAAGUUAAUAUAGUGAAUAUCUAAAAGGUACAUCUCUCUGCUUUAUCAAAUCUCCUUUAUUAACCAUCAACAGGGUUCUGUUGCUUUCUCUAUAGAGCAUGUCUUAUUAGUUAUUAUAUAUAAAUUGCUAUUAUGAGUAGUAGUUUUUAUUCAUUACACUUUCCAAGUGACUAUUGUUAGUGUGAAAGUUAUUACUUUUUUGAACAUUUAUUUUGGAAACGGAGUCAUAUUACCACUGUUUCUAAUAGUUUUCUCAGUUUAUUCUCUUGAGUUUUCUCUGGUAUAAAAUCAUUUUAUCCUUGAAUAAUGACAAUCUUGCUCACUUCUUUCCAAUAUUUAUACCUUUUGUUUUGGCUUAGUGUGCUGGCUUGGACAGAUGUUCUGUAUCAGCGAUGAUAAUGACCCCCUGGUACUGAUGGAUUCUACUUGCUAAUAUUCUGUUUAGAAUUUAUAAGUGAAAUGAGGUGUACAGUUUUCUUUGGGGUAUGCCUUUAAUAGGUUUUGGUAUAGUGUUUUGCUGGCUUUAUAAAAACAAUAAAAGCAUUGAAAAGCACUCCUUCGCUCUCUGAGUUAUGGAACAAUUUAAAUAAUUCCCAUGAUAUCUAUUCUUCUAUGGUUUGAACCAUGAAAGCUGUAUGUCUGGCCCCUUUCAGGAGAAUCUCCUUUAUAAUUGUCUCGCAGCUUAUUUUAAAUUUCCUAUUUCUUCUUGAUAUAAGAAAUCUAUUAUUUCUAGAAUAAUUGUCCACACAUCCAAGUUUUUAAACUUAUUUCCACAGUUUUACAAAGCAUUUUUUUAAUACUUUAACAAAUUUCCCCUGUAUCUGUA